GUCCGUCCAUCCCAAUGGUGUCCGUCCGUCCGUCCAUCCAUCACAGUGCCGUCCAUCCGUCCCAUUGCGGUGUCCGUCUGUCCGUCCAUCCAUCCCAAUGGUGUCCGUCUGUCCGUCCAUCACAGUGCUGUCCGUCCAUCCCAAUGGUGUCCGUCUGUCCAUCCAUCCCAAUGACAUCCAUCCAUCCCAAUGGUGUCCGUCUGUCCGUCCGUCCAUUGCAGUGCUGUCCGUCCAUCCAUCCCAAUGGUUGCUGUCCGUCCAUCCAUCCCAAUGGUGUCCGUCCGUCCGUCCAUCCCAAUGACUGCCGUCCAUCCGUCCCAUUGCGGUGUCCGUCUGUCCGUCCAUCCAUCCCAAUGGUGUCCGUCUGUCCAUCCAUCCCAAUGACGUCCGUCCAUCUCAAUGGUGUCCGUCUGUCCGUCCAUUGCAGUG
ensembl:lncRNA